UCUUUUCCUAUUUAGGGAUUUGAGAUUAUACACACACACACAUACACGAUUAAGAGUUUCCAGUUCAAACUUACACUGUUAAUUUUUAUUUUUUUCCCCCUAACCAUAAAUGCGCUGCUGCCUGUAUGAGUGUGUCAAUUUGUGUCUCAUUCAGUAUCCAGGGUUUUUCCCCCACCACGUGAUAUGAUAUAAUUAGAAAAGAAGCUAAUACUUUUCAUUAUUGUGAUUAACUUGCAACUGAAUGAAUGGGAUUCAUUUGCAGCUAUCCGUACUUGGCAGUUGUUCUUAAUUUCAGCCAAAGCUGGGCCCUG
rnacentral:misc_RNA from 1 species